CAAUCAAUGUUACAAUAUAUUUGAGCAAGUUAGAUAGAUGGUGGCUAAUCUCAUGAAAAUGGGGUGAUGCCUAUGGUUUUGGUUUCUACUCCAAGAAAGGAAUAGCAUGACUGAUUAUGAAAUGCUAAUGAUUGUUCUUACAAUCAUUGGUCUAGUAAUAAUGAGCAAUAACCAAAA
rnacentral:sRNA from 17 species